rnacentral:lncRNA from 1 species
GGGCUGUAAAUACUACUAUAAGAAGAAAAUACUACUACAUUUUACAGACUGAAAGUUUUUCAGGGACAAGAACCAAGUGUUAUUCAUCUUCUUCCACGUCUAGCAGAGUCCUUGACACCUACUGGUCCUCAAGAAAAGUUGAAUGAAUGAAGAAACAAAUGAACAAACAUGCUGAGUUUAGGUUGAUGAUUGAUGGUAGAACACACAGGUGAUAUCCAGCAGAAAAGGUCAUCAAAUAAAGUUUAUACAUACGUUGGACCAUAAAAAAAAAAAAA